rfam:Schistosoma mattheei strain Denwood, Zambia genome assembly, scaffold: SMTD_scaffold0001216
AUCCAACUGACUAGUCCCAAAUAGGACGAAACGCGAGUUCUGGAU